rnacentral:rRNA from 1 species
UAAAGUGGCGAACGGCUGAGUAACACGUGGGCAACCUGCCCUUUGCACUGGGAUAGCCUCGGGAAACCGAGGUUAAUACCGGAUACUCCAUAUUUGUCGCAUGGCGAAUAUGGGAAAGCUCCGGCGGCAAAGGAUGGGCCCGCGGCCUGUUAGCUAGUUGGUGGGGUAGUGGCCUACCAAGGCAAUGAUGGGUAGCCGGGUUGAGAGACCGACCGGCCAGAUUGGGACUGAGACACGGCCCAGACUCCUACGGGAGGCAGCAGGU